ACAGCCAGACGUUUUCCUUAAUUCUCACUGGAAAGCAUCAACACCUCAAAGAGAAGCCAUGAAGCCAGUGAUCGUGCUGUACGUUGCGCUGAUGAUGAUUGCACUGGUGUGCAAUGCUUAUGCUGCAUGUCACAAUGGAAGAUGUGCCCGGAAAUGUAGUAAUAAUGAAUAUAUAGACCAUGGCUCAUACUGUGGGGGUGGAAAUGUAUGCUGUGUUGAAAACGGCAAUUGAAGAACAUCCGUGAAGGAAGACUGUGUGGAUCAAGCAACAUUACAUUCUUCCAUUUAAGUUUUGGUCAAAACAGUCAGACACUUACACAAGAGAUGGAUUAAUCAUGAUUUGUGUUUAAGCCUGUUUGAUGCCAGUUUGAAUAAAAUGAAAUAUCACAA